UACGUAGGGGGCAAGCGUUGUCCGGAUUUAUUGGGCGUAAAGCGCGUGUAGGCGGCCAGGUAGGUCGGUUGUGAAAAUUGGAGGCUCAACCUCCAGACGUCGAUCGAAACCAUCUGGCUAGAGUCCGGAAGAGGAGAAUGGAAUUCCUGGUGUAGCGGUGAAAUGCGCAGAUAUCAGGAAGAACACCGAUGGCGAAGGCAGUUCUCUGGGACGGUACUGACACUGAGACGCGAAAGCGUGGGGAGCGAACAGG
rnacentral:rRNA from 1 species